CUCGGUCCAGGCAGAGGAGGACAAUUCCACUGCCUGAUAUCGAUUUCCAUCGUCAGUCUUCACCAGGUAUUUAUCCAUACUCUGAAAAUUCCAACUCCAAUCUGAGUCAAUAUUCUCCAUGCACGCUCAUCAAUAUUCCCAACUAAUUCAAUAAUAACUAAAAAAAUUUCUUCAUCUGAGUCACCACGUUUAUGUUUGAUUCUACUUCCAUCCCUUAUUGUCAACUGAUUCUCUUCUCUGAAAUCACCAUCACCUAAGAAGAAAAGUGAUCAGGCACCCUUUCAUCUCUGCAGACAUGCUUGACAAGCGUAGUCUUUCCAACUGUUCCUGGACAAACAGUUGGUAGGAUGCCAAAAUUGCAAUGGACAGGAGGUUCUUCAUGCAGGAAGAAGUUGACGAUCCGUUCCAUUUCCAUCUGGCGGCCAAACAUGUACUUCUCC
rnacentral:lncRNA from 1 species